AUUGAACGCUGGCGGCAGGCCUAACACAUGCAAGUCGAGCGGAUGAAGGGAGCUUGCUCCUGGAUUCAGCGGCGGACGGGUGAGUAAUGCCUAGGAAUCUGCCUGGUAGUGGGGGAUAACGUCCGGAAACGGGCGCUAAUACCGCAUACGUCCUGAGGGAGAAAGUGGGGGAUCUUCGGACCUCACGCUAUCAGAUGAGCCUAGGUCGGAUUAGCUAGUUGGUGGGGUAAAGGCCUACCAAGGCGACGAUCCGUAACUGGUCUGAGAGGAUGAUCAGUCACACUGGAACUGAGACACGGUCCAGACUCCUACGGGAGGCAGCAGUGGGGAAUAUUGGACAAUGGGCGAAAGCCUGAUCCAGCCAUGCCGCGUGUGUGAAGAAGGUCUUCGGAUUGUAAAGCACUUUAAGUUGGGAGGAAGGGCAGUAAGUUAAUACCUCGCUGUUUUGACGUUACCAACAGAAUAAGCACCGGCUAACUUCGU
rnacentral:rRNA from 1 species